rnacentral:tRNA from 1 species
GCCCUUGUGGCGGAACGGUAGACGCGAUCGACUCAAAAUCGAUUGUCUUCGGACGUGGGGGUUCAAGUCCCUCCAGGGGCACCA